GACGAACGCUGGCGGCGUGCUUAACACAUGCAAGUCGAACGAUGAACCGGGUGCUUGCACUUGGGGAUUAGUGGCGAACGGGUGAGUAACACGUGAGUAACCUGCCCUGGACUCUGGGAUAACCCCGAGAAAUCGGAGCUAAUACCGGAUAGGACCUUCUCCCGCAUGGGGGUUGGUGGAAAGUUUUUCGGUUUGGGAUGGACUCGCGGCCUAUCAGCUUGUUGGUGAGGUAAUGGCUCACCAAGGCGUCGACGGGUAGCCGGCCUGAGAGGGUGACCGGCCACACUGGGACUGAGACACGGCCCAGACUCCUACGGGAGGCAGCAGUGGGGAAUAGUGCACAAUGGGCGCAAGCCUGAUGCAGCAACGCCGCGGGCGGGAUGACGGCCUUCGGGUUGUAAACCGCUUUUAGUAAGGAAGAAGGGACUUCGACCUUGACGGUACUUGCAGAAAAAGGACCGGCUAACUACGUGCCAGCCGCCGCCGUAACAC
rnacentral:rRNA from 1 species